UCAACUGCCGGGCUAUAAUCUAUGAAACUGAGCCCAGAUCCAGCCAAUCAGUUUGCUCCUCAUAACAAGUCUAACUGGCUCUGGAAAGCUGAAAGGGCUGCACUGGAGCGGCAUAGAGGAUAUACUCCACACAGCAAUCUGUUUAUCUAGAAUCACUCUGCCUGGAAAAAAUGGAGAAAAUCACAGCUUCAGUAUCUGAGGGGAGGACAGGUGAUCUGGCAGAAACACAUCUGAACCUGAAGCAG
ensembl:misc_RNA